UUAAACGGCACACCUGCGCUCACAUUUCUUAUAGUAGCACACUAAUAAAAGUGUGGCACGGGAACUCAGACGGUCGUUUAUACCUUAAAACCACAGAUAUGUAAUAUAUAGAUAUAACGUAUAUUUAUAUCUUUAUAUAUACAUGUAAAAUGAACUGUCUGAGUUCGAAUAAAUGAAUAACGUGGUGAAGUUUAUCUAGUUAGACCGUGGUAAAACCCCACCUGUUCUACCGUUGUCUCGAGCGGCUUUCCAGACUCGACGUGACGUCACACACGCCGUAUCCCGAGCGCUCCCCCCCUCCACCUCUGAGCGCGUGGUCCUGGUCGCGAGCACAUGGAAGUGAGGUUUGAGAUUUGUGUCUGAGAGACGUUCGAGCGACUGUCGGGAAAACGGAAUAUAAAGUGAAUUAAAGAAGCAGCCCGAGCAGCCCGGAAGCGCUCUCUCAGCCCGCUGGCUUUCCUCUGCAGCAGCUGUCGGUCAGCGUCAGUUGGUGUAUCUCGGAAACACAGAUCGCUAAUGAGGCUGGAGCUCUCGAGGACUGCCUGGCCCUGAACUCAGCAUCACACGGUGCUAAGUGACGAGGAUCCCCUGCUGCACCCAGGGAGGGUUAUGCAUCUAAAACGUGAAUAUUAUAUACGUCACGUCGAAUCAGGAGACGGGUGCUCUCAUCUGCAGCUUGAGCUGUCUGGCUUUGAGAUCUCGCUGUGCUCGGGGUGGUCCUGCAAACUCAGGAAAGUCCAGGUACGAUUUGAUUAAUGUGGGUUUUGGCUCGUCUGGACAGAAACAUCAGCAAGGACACUGUGGACGUAAAAUGCUUCUGCUGCUGCUGCUGUGAUGGUGGUGUUGCAGACCCCCCAUGCAGGCCAGAUCUUUCUGCAGCUUCUGCACCGACACAUGAUCUGACUAGGAAGGAUGCAAAGGUGGAAGCAGACCGUGCUGGAUUUAGUUUCACAGCAUCUUACUGGAGCAAACGCACACAACAUACUGCAAGGUUUUCAGUAGUAUCUACUUCCCCCUUUUUUUUUCUUUUUUUUGUUUGAGAGGACACGGAUACACCCUGACUGGGCCCCUGUAGUGCUCUACAUUGUGGUUGGGAAGUACCUAGUUUUACAACUGUCAUGCUGGCCUGCUUAAAGGGACAGUGCUGAUCAAUUCGAAGCACAUAUUCAGGGGUCUUUUAGUCACCCUAACAAGGGGGUCACAUGGAUGUUUGAGUCGUCAUUCCUCAUGUGAGGAAUGUGCAGUCCGAAGAGCCGCUUUCUGCAUCAAGCACUGCAUAAAAAUACUGAUUGAUAUUUGUUAAAAGAAUGUCUUUAAUAAAAAGUUGAAUUGAAUUGGGUGUGAGAGUUUCCUGCUUUUGAAAAACGAAAGAGAGAAGACUCACAACUCUACAGGUUCUUUUUAGUCUGAAUGCAUAGUGGAUUUGUUUU
ensembl:lncRNA